AGGGCAGAGGGUGUUGUCGGUAGCUACCGGUGCGGUGCUCUGCUCGUGUUCGGUGAUGAUAACGGUCGGCUGCGUGCGUGUGUGUUCUCCCUGCGUGCUGCCCCAGCUCUGCGCAGAAGGCUGGCACAGCAGACCCCGAGAGAACCCCCAAUGACCACAGACUCUGGUUCUGGUCACCGAAUGUGUUGAUCUUUGUCACAUCGACCAAUCCCUUUGCGCUGUGGGUCCCCACCAGGACACCCAACAAGAUCCACGUCCAGAUUGGCAUCAUAACCUGCAAAAAUAAAAAAAGCCACACUCGCCUCUCUCUCCCACGGGGAAGAAGGAGGAUCCUGGGAACUACAGGCCAGUCAGCCUCACCUCAGUCCCUGGAAAAAUCAUCAAACAGGUUCGGAAGGAAUCCAUUUUAAAGCAUUUGGAGGAGAGGAAGGGAAUCAGGAACAGUCAACAUGGAUUCACCAAGGGCAAGUCAUGCCUGAC